rnacentral:rRNA from 1 species
CCUACGGGAGGCUGCAGUGGGGAAUAUUGCACAAUGGGCGCAAGCCUGAUGCAGCCAUGCCGCGUGUGUGAAGAAGGCCUUCUGGUUGUAAAGCACUUUCAGCGGGGAGGAAGGCGUUAAGGUUAAUAACCUUGUCGAUUGACGUUACCCGCAGAAGAAGCACCGGCUAACUCCGUGCCAGCAGCCGCGGUAAUACGGAGGGUGCAAGCGUUAAUCGGAAUUACUGGGCGUAAAGCGCACGCAGGCGGUCUGUCAAGUCGGAUGUGAAAUCCCCGGGCUCAACCUGGGAACUGCAUUCGAAACUGGCAGGCUAGAGUCUUGUAGAGGGGGGUAGAAUUCCAGGUGUAGCGGUGAAAUGCGUAGAGAUCUGGAGGAAUACCGGUGGCGAAGGCGGCCCCCUGGACAAAGACUGACGCUCAGGUGCGAAAGCGUGGGGAGCAAACAGGAUUAGAUACCCUUGUAGUC